CACUUGCGGUAAUUCCAGCUCCAAUAGCGUAUACUAAAGUUGUUGCAGUUAAAACGCUCGUAGUCGGAUUUCGGGGCGGGCCCGCCGGUCUGCCGAUGGGUAUGCACUGGCGGGAGACGGGAUAUUUACUUUGAAAAAAUCAGAGUGUUUCAAGCAGGCAGUCGCUCUUGCAUGGAUUAGCAUGGGAUAAUGAAAUAGGACUCUGGUGCUAUUUUGUUGGUUUCGAGCACCGGAGUAAUGAUUAACAGGGACAGUCAGGGGCACUCGUAUUCCGCCGAGAGAGGUGAAAUUCUCAGACCAGCGGAAGACGAACCACUGCGAAAGCAUUUGCCAGGGAUGUUUUCACUGAUC
rnacentral:rRNA from 1 species